UACGGAGGGGGCUAGCGUUAUUCGGAAUUAUUGGGCGUAAAGGGCGCGUAGGCGGCUUUGCAAGUGGCGGGUGAAAUCCCUCGGCUUAACCGAGGAACUGCCCGCCAGACUGUCAGGCUCGAGUUCGGAAGAGGCGAGUGGAAUUCCCGGUGUAGCGGUGAAAUGCGCAGAUAUCGGGAGGAACACCAAUGGCGAAGGCAGCUCGCUGGGACGUUACUGACGCUGAGACGCGAAAGCGUGGGGAGCAAACAGG
rnacentral:rRNA from 1 species